GCCCGGGUGGCGGAACAGGCAGACGCACAGGACUUAAAAUCCUGCGGUUACUAAAAUAACCGUACCAGUUCGAUUCUGGUCCCGGGCACCA
rnacentral:tRNA from 1 species